rnacentral:rRNA from 1 species
CCUACGGGAGGCAGCAGUGAGGAAUUUUCCGCAAUGGGCGAAAGCCUGACGGAGCAAUACCGCGUGAGGGAUGAAGGAUUUUGGUCUGUAAACCUCUUUUCUCAAGAAAGAAGUUCUGACGGUACUUGAGGAAUAAGCAUCGGCUAACUCCGUGCCAGCAGCCGCGGUAAUACGGGGGAUGCAAGCGUUAUCCGGAAUGAUUGGGCGUAAAGCGCCUGUAGGUUGUUUAUUAAGUCCGUUGUUAAAGCCUAGGGCUUAACCCUAGAAAAGCAAUGGAAACUAGUAGACUAGAGUAUGGCAGGGGUAGAGGGAAUUUCUAGUGUAGCGGUGAAAUGCGUAGAUAUUAGAAAGAACACCGGUGGCGAAAGCGCUCUACUGGACCAUUACUGACACUCAGAGGCGAAAGCUAGGGUAGCAAAAGGGAUUAGAUACCCCUGUAGUCCUAGCCGUAAACGAUGGAUACUAGAUGUUGUGCAUUAUGUACAGUAUCGUAGCUAACGCGUUAAGUAUCCGCCUGGGGAGUACGCUCGCAAGGGUGAAACUUAAGGAAUUGACGG